AACGAACGCUGGCGGCAUGCCUAACACAUGCAAGUCGAACGAGACUUCGGGUCUAGUGGCGCACGGGUGCGUAACGCGUGGGAACCUGCCCUUAGGUUCGGAAUAACUCAGAGAAAUUUGAGCUAAUACCGGAUAAGGUCUUCGGACCAAAGAUUUUCGCCUUUGGAUGGGCCCGCGUAGGAUUAGGUAGUUGGUAGGGUAAAGGCUACCAAGCCGACGAUCCUUAGCUGGUCUGAGAGGAUGAUCAGCCACACUGGGACUGAGACACGGCCCAGACUCCUACGGGAGGCAGCAGUGGGGAAUAUUGGACAAUGGGCGAAAGCCUGAUCCCAGCAAUGCCGCGUGAGUGAUGAAGGCCUUAGGGUUGUAAAGCUCUUUUACCAGGGAUGAUAAUGACAGUAC
rnacentral:rRNA from 1 species